CUCUGGUCUUGUAGCUGGUGGCCUGGGAGAUGGUUUGGGUGGUAGGUGCUGGAAGCUAAGGCCACUUCUAGAAUCUCAGUAGACGACAGUGGCAGAAUACAAAUCAACCCACCCCAUGCACAGACGGCUGGGAUCCUUUGAGGCUCUUGUUUUAUGGAUGAAAUAAAUCCAGCCAAUGGGGAAUGGAAGGCUCUCUCUCCUCCUGAAGACACAGGUUUGCAUGUGCUACAGACAAAACCAGCAUCUAUUCCUCUCCUGAAGGAUUCUGUGUCUUCAUGAGAAUGUAAAAACAUAGUGAGCACCGGACUGGAGAGAUGAGCCCAUGUCCCCACUGCCAUCUCCUGAUCUGUGGGAAUGGCAGUGCAAAGCUAUUCCCCACGCUACGCUAUGCAUUGCAAGAAAGAGACAGCUAUCAGCUGAACAUAGUAGCAAGAGCUGGAAUUUGAUGGAAAAGAUACCUAGAAUGUUCCCUUUUGUGUUCCUUUUAAUUGGAUGUUAGUGGGAUGACUUUUCACGCUAGUGGCCUUUGCUAGAAUAUAUUGGUCUGCAAGGUGGUGUCAAGAAAUUGGCUGCUAUAAUGAUAUCACUCAUAAGCUCCCAGCCUUUAAAUUUCCAUCAUAUCGCUAUCCCAGGGCAGCUGGGAUUCUUGGGCCUCCCAAAACAUGUUGUGUCCAGAGGGUGAUUUCUCCAUAUAGCUGAGCCCCAGUGUAAACUGAGGGGCACUUCUCAGACUGGUGAUGAAAUUCUUAAUUACGCAGCAUCAAAUGCAGCAGUUCUAGGGAGAAGCAAAUUCACUUUCAUAUUAUGCACAUACAUCAAAACCACCCUGUUUCUGAGACAAAUGCCCAAUCAAUCCAAUCUAUUUUGCCAUCUACAGCAGACGCUGCAUCAAGCUGUUUUAUCAGUUUUAAUUUGUCUUUCCUCGCUGUACUCAGUCAACUUGUGGUUAUCCAGACCGUGGGGAGGGAGCAGCACUAUCCCAAAUGAAGUGGAGCUCAGCUGAACAAGACCAGUGAUAUAACAGAUCGUUAAAAUAAAUGUUUUCUGCAAUAAUCUUAGCAAAAACUGGAGCUACAAUGUAGAGAAAGGGCAAAGUCAGGAAAGAAAACAUUUUAUUUAUGGCGUAGUGCAGUUCAUUUGCAUCUGGAUAAUCUGCCCAUGCAUA